rnacentral:lncRNA from 1 species
GUUGUAAUAAAGAAGAUGGAUUAGUGAGGGAGAAAAUAUUACUAACAGGAAACACUUGCAAAAAGACAAGACUGAGUAACAUGGGAGUGAUCUCUUUAAGCCACAAAGUCAAGAAAGGCUUCCCAGUAGAGGAGAUGGCCCUUGAGUGGGGCUUUGGGCUAAGGUGGAAAGAACAUUGUCUUUGGGGGCUGAGUUCCUGAAUUUCAAUACCACCUCUGUUACUUACUCUUUAUGUAAACUUAGGAUCUGUCACAGGACUUGAAUGAAAUCUUUCUGGUGCCCCAGGCCAGUCUUCUUUGUUUUGGAGGCAAAUAAGUGACAUGCCCAGGAUCCAUCAGCUGUUUAUGGGGGCUCAGCCCAAGAUCUGUGGCUUCCCAGAGAGAUGGCUGGAAUCUCGAUUCCAGGCAGGCGCCAGGUUGGGUUUUCUCUGACUAACCUUGUGAUCAAAUUCUCAGCCUCCCUCUCGGCAGGCACACAAGUCUUCAAAAAGGAAGCCCAGAAAGGCCUGGAGAGACUUACGUGAACUGAUGCUGAGUGAAAUGAGCAGGACCAGGAGG